AGUGAACGCUGGCGGUAGGCCUAACACAUGCAAGUCGAACGGCAGCACAGUAAGAGCUUGCUCUUACGGGUGGCGAGUGGCGGACGGGUGAGGAAUACAUCGGAAUCUACUUUUUCGUGGGGGAUAACGUAGGGAAACUUACGCUAAUACCGCAUACGACCUACGGGUGAAAGCAGGGGAUCUUCGGACCUUGCGCGAUUGAAUGAGCCGAUGUCGGAUUAGCUAGUUGGCGGGGUAAAGGCCCACCAAGGCGACGAUCCGUAGCUGGUCUGAGAGGAUGAUCAGCCACACUUGAACUGAGACACGGUCCAGAACCCUACGGGAGGCAGCAGUGGGGAAUAUUGGACAAUGGGCGCAAGCCUGAUCCAGCCAUACCGCGUGGGUGAAGAAGGCCUUCGGGUUGUAAAGCCCUUUUGUUGGGAAAGAAAAGCAGCAGGUUAAUACCCCGCUGUUCUGACGGUACCCAAAGAAUAAGCACCGGCUAACUUCGU
rnacentral:rRNA from 1 species